rnacentral:rRNA from 1 species
AACGAACGCUGGCGGCGUGCCUAACACAUGCAAGUCGUGCGAGAAAGUUCCUUCGGGAGCGAGUAAAGCGGCGCACGGGUGAGUAACACGUAGGUAACCUGCCCCCCAGUCUGGAACAACUAGAGGAAACUCUAGCUAAUGCCGGAUGAGACCACGAUCCCCUUCGGGGGUUGCGGGCCAAAGAUGGCCUCUACUUGUAAGCUAUCGCUGAGGGAUGGGCCUGCGGGCCAUUAGCUUGUUGGUGAGGUAACGGCUCACCAAGGCUGUGAUGGCUAGCUGGUCUGAGAGGAUGACCAGCCACACUGGGACUGAGACACGGCCCAGGACUCCUACGGGAGGCAGCAGUGGGGAAUAUUGCGCAAUGGGCGAAGCCUGACGCAGCGA